UCUGCAAAAACAUAGCGUAUGCGAUGCGCACAAAACAGGCGCAAUGUCGAACCAUAUGUGUAGACAGGUCAGGUUCGAGCAAACGAAAUUGAUCACACGUCGCUAGCUAACGUUAAUAUACAUAACGAUAUGUUGAACUGCAGCUACUGGUCGACAGUCCCUGUAUAGACUCCAUAGUGUUGGAUACUCCUUGGAAUCUGCGGUCCAGGGUGGCCUCCAAAGAGCCGCGGCCACCAUGGCCGCUAACAGCUCCAGAACCCGCCGCCAUUUUUCCAGUCCUCUCUGGUACUGCAGACAUGGACACCGCAUUGAGUCAUGAAGGUAGCAAAAGUGUGACAGACAGGCGAGAGGAGACACGCCCCCUACAGAUCUAGGGUCAGAUUCUGAAAACUGGCAACUCCAACAGUUUGACCAAUAUUUACAACCCGAAAGGGACCUGCCUGUAUGUUUAAAGUUGGUUGCAUCCAAUCGCAAGCAUUAUAAAAUGUCACCUCUCACUGUGUUACAAAUCCAAUGCAGCAGCUGAAAAUAAUUUAAAAAGUGCACAAAGGUAUAAAGCUUUCAUUUUUCAUUACAAAGUG